AGCAGCCGCGGUAAUUCCAGCUCCAAUAGCGUAUAUUAAAGUUGUUGCAGUUAAAAAGCUCGUAGUUGAAUUUCGGGAUCAGUACGCUGGUCGUGCCUUUGGUAUGUACUGGUGUCACUGAUUCCUCCCUUCUGAAGAACCGUUAUGCCAUUUAUUUGGUGUGGCGGGGAAUCAGGACUGUUACUUUGAAAAAAUUAGAGUGUUUAAAGCAGGCUCGCGCUUGAAUACAUUAGCAUGGAAUAAUGAAAUAGGACGUUUGAUCUUAUUUUGUUGGUUUCUAGGAUCGACGUAAUGAUUAAUAGGGAUAGUUGGGGGCAUUAGUAUUCAAUUGUCGGAGGUGAAAUUCUUGGAUUUAUUGAAGACUAACUACUGCGAAAGCAUUUGCCAAGGAUGUUUUCAUUAAUCAAGAACGAAAGUUAGGGGAUCGAAGACGAUCAGAUACCGUCGUAGUCUUAACCAUAAACUAUGCCGACUAGGGAUCGGAUGAUGUUAAUUUUUAAUGACUCAUUCGGCGCCUUAA
rnacentral:rRNA from 1 species